GGCUCAGGAUGAACGCUAGCUACAGGCUUAACACAUGCAAGUCGAGGGGCAGCAUGGAAGAAGCUUGCUUCUUCUGAUGGCGACCGGCGCACGGGUGCGUAACGCGUAUCAAACCUGCCUCAUACUCGGGGAUAGCCUUGCGAAAGUAAGAUUAAUACCCGAUGUUGUUAUGUUUCCGCAUGGUGAUGUAACCAAAGAUUUAUCGGUAUGAGAUGGUGAUGCGUCCGAUUAGGUAGUAGGCGGGGUAACGGCCCACCUAGCCAUCGAUCGGUAGGGGUUCUGAGAGGAAGGUCCCCCACACUGGAACUGAGACACGGUCCAGACUCCUACGGGAGGCAGCAGUGAGGAAUAUUGGUCAAUGGGCGUAAGCCUGAACCAGCCAAGUAGCGUGCAGGAUGACGGCCCUAUGGGUUGUAAACUGCUUUUGUAUGGGGAUAAAGUCAGUCACGUGUGAUUGUUUGCAGGUACCAUACGAAUAAGGACCGGCUAAUUCCGUGCCAGCAGCCGCGGUAAUACGGAAGGUCCGGGCGUUAUCCGGAUUUAUUGGGUUUAAAGGGAGCGUAGGCCGCGCCUUAAGCGUGUUGUGAAAUCCGGGUGCUCAACAUCCGGCUUGCAGCGCGAACUGGGGCGCUUGAGUGCGCUGAAAGUAGGCGGAAUUCGUGGUGUAGCGGUGAAAUGCUUAGAUAUCACGAGGAACUCCGAUUGCGAAGGCAGCCUACUGUAGCGCUACUGACGCUGAUGCUCGAAAGCGUGGGUAUCGAACAGGAUUAGAUACCCUGGUAGUCCACGCGGUAAACGAUGGAUGCUCGUUGUCGGCCUUUGUGGUCGGUGACCAAGCGAAAGCGUUAAGCAUCCCACCUGGGGAGUACGCCGGCAACGGUGAAACUCAAAGGAAUUGACGGGGGCCCG
rnacentral:rRNA from 1 species